rnacentral:sRNA from 1 species
GGAUACGAGGGUGAUCUGGCAGCAAUAUCUAUCACCCCACUGAUUGCCAGGGUUGACUUGGCUGAUCUGGCUGACUAGGCGGGUGUCCCUUUCCUCCCUCAAUGUUCCAUGUGCGUCCCUCCAAAGAACAAACACCCCUGGUAGAGGACUAUUAUCUAACCUUUCUUUCUUUCUUUUUUUGUCUUUUUGAGACAAGGUUUAGCUAUGCAGUUCAGGCUGACCUGAACU